rnacentral:tRNA from 1 species
AAUGUAGCUCAGUGACAGAGCAUUUGCCUAGUAUGCCGAAAGCCCUGGGUUCAAUUCCCAGUAUU